rnacentral:rRNA from 1 species
AUUGAACGCUGGCGGCAGGCCUAACACAUGCAAGUCGAGCGGAUGAAGGGAGCUUGCUCCUGGAUUCAGCGGCGGACGGGUGAGUAAUGCCUAGGAAUCUGCCUGGUAGUGGGGAAUAACGUCCGGAAACGGGCGCUAAUACCGCAUACGUCCUGAGGGAGAAAGUGGGGGAUCUUCGGACCUCACGCUAUCAGAUGAGCCUAGGUCGGAUUAGCUAGUUGGUGGGGUAAAGGCCUACCAAGGCGACGAUCCGUAACUGGUCUGAGAGGAUGACCAGUCACACUGGAACUGAGACACGGCCCAGACUCCUACGGGAGGCAGCAGUGGGGAAUAUUGGACAAUGGGCGAAAGCCUGAUCCAGCCAUGCCGCGUGUGUGAAGAAGGUCUUCGGAUUGUAAAGCACUUUAAGUUGGGAGGAAGGGCAGUAAGUUAAUACCUUGCUGUUUUGACGUUACCAACAGAAUAAGCACCGGCUAACUUCGUG